rnacentral:rRNA from 1 species
AUUGAACGCUGGCGGCAUGCUUUACACAUGCAAGUCGAACGGUAACAGGCCGCAAGGUGCUGACGAGUGGCGAACGGGUGAGUAAUGCAUCGGAACGUGCCCAGUCGUGGGGGAUAACGCAGCGAAAGCUGUGCUAAUACCGCAUACGAGCUAUGGAUGAAAGCGGGGGACCGUAAGGCCUCGCGCGAUUGGAGCGGCCGAUGUCAGAUUAGGUAGUUGGUGGGGUAAAGGCCUACCAAGCCGACAAUCUGUAGCUGGUCUGAGAGGACGACCAGCCACACUGGGACUGAGACACGGCCCAGACUCCUACGGGAGGCAGCAGUGGGGAAUUUUGGACAAUGGGCGCAAGCCUGAUCCAGCAAUGCCGCGUGCAGGAAGAAGGCCUUCGGGUUGUAAACUGCUUUUGUACGGAACGAAACGGCCUGGGUUAAUACCCUGGGCUAAUGACGGUACCGUAAGAAUAAGCACCGGCUAACUACGUGCCAGCAGCCGCGGUAAAAC